UGCUGGCUCCCCCAGUGCCUACGUGGAUGGUGUAAGGAAGCAACAGCCCAGAGAGUGGCAAGGGGAGAGCGGCUCUCUGGGGCAUUCGCUUGGGGCUGGCUCAGAAGACCACAGAGUCCUGCGCCUCUGCUUUACCCAGAAGGUUUCUGGAGCCAGUGCUGUGUGGCCGAAUGGGGUCCUAGCGCAAGACAGGACCAUGGGGUGAAAUAUAGGGGUUGAACCUCUUUAGUCCGGCACCCUCGGGCCUGGUGCCGAACCCCGGGAGAUCAAUAUUGUCUAGCAGCAUUGCCAACACUGCCACCGUUUAAUGGGAUGUUAGAAGACAUGGAAGGGUGAAUUAGAGCUAAAUAACAGCACAGAACACUGAGAGCCAGGACUUCUGGCUGUAAACGAAUUAUAUGGGACCGCGGGAAGCUUGGCGACACCUGUGAUAAGUGGACAUCCAGCUAACUAAAAUCAUGCUGGACCAUGGAGGUUGCCAGACCACAGAAUGCUGGACUAGAGAGGUUCAACGUGUAUUUCAAUAAUUCAGAGCUUACCUAGGGCAUGCACCCAGGAGUUCAAAGAAGAAAUACUAGUAUGUUAACCUGUUUUUCCUGAGCAUGAUAUUGCUCUACGUUCACUGGCGCUUAAAAGGGGGAACAAUCGUUUUGAAAAAUUAUUUUAUUGGGGGAUUGGUUUUGUUAGUCAAAAGGAAUAUUGAUCACAUUGUGUAGUUUAAAGUUGCAUAAGAUUGACUUAGUCAGGAGAGUGUCCACUGAAGUGGCUGAUAACAUAUGUUGCCAGGAGAUAAGGUUUGAUUGGCGGGUAAGAUAUUGCAUGUCCUAGGAUUUGAGGCUACCUGAUUGUUGCAAUAGUCUGCUUGUCACAUGAAUCUGUGUGAGAUUAAGACUACCCUUGUCUAAUACCCUAGUAUUUUAGGGUACGGCUACACAGCAGGGCUAAUGUCAUCAAUUGCAUAGCUGAAGUCAAAAUAGCUUAAUUUGGCUUUUGGCGCUGUCUAUGCAGCAGGAUGUCGAAGGAAGAACACUCUUCCUCCGACUUCCCUUACUCCUCAUGAAAUGGUGUUAUAGGAGUCGGAGUAAGAAAUCCAACAGCUCAAUGUUAUUUCGAAAUAAAGGCUUGUAGUGUAGAUGUGCACUAUGGAAUAAUGCUGCUGUGUAGAUAUUCUCUUACAGUAAUAGAUCAAGAUCUACAAGUCACUCGCUUUAGGCUGCACUAUUCUUUUUGUUAUGCAGAUUCUAUGACGUUGUUAAGUACAGUGCAAAAUUCUCUGCUCCCAACAGAUCUCCUUGGGAGUGGGGAGAGCGACUUGUUUAAUAGGAAGCAAUAAUAAAAGUGUACCGGCCAGAGGCCCAGCUGCAGGAUGUGAGGUUUCUGCCUGCCUUCUCUCUUCCUUUACAUUUUAGUUCUCACAGCUGCUGUGUGUGUGUUAGGGAUGUUACAUUGCGUUUAGUCAAUGGAAUUUUCAUUGACUACUUGAUUAGUUGAUAAGGAGGGAAAUUGCAGAGGCUGGGAGCUAACCCCGCUGCGACUUUGCCUUUUAAAUGUAGUAAAAACUGCCCCUAGUAAUUUUUUUGUGUGUGUGUGUGUACACAAGCAAAUCCAUGUCCGCUUCCUUGCUGUGUCUCCCGAGGCUGCCAAUGGUCCUCUCACUGAAGCAAACCCAAAACCCAUCCAAACCCAACUGUCAGUGAAAACUAUUAAGGAUACUCUUGGCAGCAAGAAAGUGCAGGCACGCGGGCAAACCUUACUUUGGAUGUUUCCAGACGAGGUAAGAAUUCUCAUUGGGUGAGAAAUGGAUUUCCGGGUGCCAUUUAUUGAUUUCUUAUGGGGAAUUCUGCAUAGAGGCCCAAACUUCUUACACCCCAAGGCUGAGAAGCAAGAGGCACCACUGUCUGCCAGCAGGGAACAGCCAAAGUGACCCCGAAUAAUGCCAGCAAGGAAUGAGAGAGUCCCAUUUCUUGCUGAUAGCACCAUGAUCUCCCUGUGCCCUUGUAUUUCAAGGUGGGGAGGAGCGAGAGAAGCGGAGACUCCCCUCCAUCCUGCAGUGCAUCCCCUGGGGCAGGAGGAGCCGGAGAAGAGGCAGUUCGGCGAAAGCUGCCAACAACAUUCAUGAGGGUGGCCUGCAGGACCCCGAUGAGGGUGUGGCCCUGACGAGCAUGUCACCUAACGGAAACUGUGAAGAAGCUGGCGGCGACACGGAUCCUUAGAGCAGCUGGAUGGCGCCAUGGAACCACGCCGCGGAUCUCUUGUAGCACGAGGACGACAGGAUGAGUUCACCCAGGCCGUUUCCUGGAAAGGCACAUGGAAGCCAUCACACAGCUGUUGGGGAAAGCUGCUGCACAGUGUCGGAUCCCUAACUUCCCACUCCCCACUAUGGCUGCAGCCAAACCCAUAGGAAAGCCCUGUUCUACCACAUGGUAGAGUCAGUUGGUAGAUGCACAAAUGGACUGUGGACCUUUAAGAAAUCCCAUUGGAGGCAUUUCACCGGGGGAGGGGGAGAGGCAGUGCAAGAAAGCUCAGCUGCCGGAAUAGGGUGUUUCAUUUGAAAAACAAAAUUCCCUUCCGAGAGGCCUUCUGCGUUUCUUUGCUGCCUUGUCCUCAGACUUUGUUGCUGUUCCAGAACUCCAGAGAAGGGCCUCGGCAGACCUUCCAUUUUUUGUUAUGGUUUCCCCUUUAGCAAGAACAGACGAAGGCGGGGAGGGGGAAGAAAGUGCUAGAACAGCGGUGGGAGCCCUGUGGGGCUGCUCAUCUGCGUGGCCUGGUGAGUUGAAACGGACCAAAUGGAGUUAUGUGAAGAAAGGCCGUACGGGCGACUGUUGCGCCGUACAACUCGCGUGCACGAUGCAGACGUGACUGACAAUUAUGUCUGUAGGAGAGGGGUCAGCAAGCAAUGCAUUCCUUCUGGGUAGCGCUGGGGUUUACAGGUUGCAUUGGGGGCAUUGUAGCAGUUCCGUGUUGUGACGGGGGGUGACGGAUAUCUCUCCCUCUCCAACUUCUCAAUGGUGGGAUUCCAACAACCAUGCAUCUCUCCAGCCCCAAGACAACCCCAUCCAUUUAUCUCUCUUAAAGAAGUGACUUAAUAUAUUGGUUUUAGGCAAUAAAAUCUCUCUAUAUUUAACAGUUUUCGAAGAUAUAUUUUAACCUGCCUGACAGCCAAUUGUUUGUUAGGGAUUUAUUUACACGGAGAAUUAAUGGGAUACUGGGGAUGUCCAGAUACAACAUACAUUAUGAUGACUCCUUUUUUUUCCCAGCAUGUGUUUCCAAGUUUAAGUGUGGCUUGGUGUUCCUUUCUCUCUGUUGCCGGUUUUCAUCUGGAUCAGGCUGUUGGCAGGACUGUCGCUCCUCAGUUAUGUCUCCUCUCGCUGUCCUCCAGCCUUGCUGUGAGGCUCUUACGCUACAGUCAUUUUUGUCUUCCCUUUUUUUUUUUCUUUUCUUUUUCCCAGCUGCUGUUUGUUCUUUGGUUGGCAGAGGAGCUGCAAAGAGCUGAGCACAGUGUGAUCUUAGCCAAUCCAAAUGCUUGAUCAAUUGAAGAUUGAUUGUGUUCCUUCUGAGAGCGAUGUGCCUUGGACAGUCCUUAUCCGUUGUGUAUAGUAGGGGGCAAGCAGUCAGCACAACCAGGUUCUUUACCCAGCUGUGACCAUGGACAAAUACCUAAUUUCUCUGUGCUUCAAUUUCCUCAACUGUAAAAUGGGGGGGAAAGGGGGUUGAUAUUUACCAACCUCACAUAGGAGCGAUAAGGCCUCAUUAAUAUCUGAGAAGUGCUGUGAGCUCUGUGGAGGUGUCAGAGAAAGGCAAAGGGCCGCAGGAAGACAGGAGCAUACUGCAAUCCAUACAAUACCCUGUUCCCUUUCUGCAGUCUCCCAGUGAUGUUUCUGCUUUGAGAGCCACAUCUGAGGCGAUUCCGAGGUGGCUAAGCAGUGGGAAAGAGCAUUAAGUGUCAGGGAGAGUGUCAGAGUAGCUGGGUAAGUGGAGAAAUGUUUCCUCCGGUCCGUGACAGCCUGGUGUUGGAAGAAAUUGUUUGGAAUGUUGGGUUGUAAUUCCAGUCCCUUGAAAAUUUUGCUGCUGAGUGUCUUUGUGGCUCGUGACUAAGGCCUUGUCCUUGCGUGCGUGUUGGUUUGGUAUAACUGAAGGUGUGAAUUUACGCUUUUGGUUAUCCCAGUAUAACUCUCUCUGUGGACAUUCUAAUUCUGGUAUGACUGUGCCUUCUUUUAAACAAACCCUUUUCCGAGUGAUAAGUUUGUUUAAGCUGAACUGAAAAAAGCCACUUACAGAAUCAUAGGACUGGAAGGACAUGUCUACACUAGGGAGUUAUUUCAAAAUAACUCCCCUUAUUUUGAAAUAACAAGGCGAACGUCCACACGACCAAGCCUGUUGUUUUGAAAUAGGGGGCUGGUUAUUUUGAAAUAACUCCUGCUUGUGAGGAGGAAUAAGUUUAUUUUGAAAUAGUUAUUUUGGGAGUUAUUUCAAAACAACUUUUUUCAAAAUAACCUGGCAGUAUGGACAUAGCUGAAGGAACCUCAAAGGGUCAUCUAGUCCCAUCCCCUGCUCUCGUGGCAGGACUAGGCAUUAUCCUAGACCAUCCCUGACAGCUUUUUGUCUAGCCUGCUAUGAAAAAUCUCCAGAGACAGAGAUUCUUUGACCUCCUUAGGCAAUCUUAUUCCACUGUCUAACCACCCUGACAGCUGGGAAGCUUUUUUUUCUUAAUGUCCAUCCUAAAUCUCCUUGCUGCAAUUUAAGCCCAUUGCUUCUUGGCUUAUCCUCAGAGGUCAAGGAGAACACUUUUUCUCCCUCUUGUAACAAUCUUUUACUUAACCAGUUAUCCUGUCCACUUUCAGGCUGUGUCUACACUGCAAAGAAAAGUCGGAAAAAGAUAUGCAAAUUGUGAACUGAAAUUUGUGUAUCUUUUUCCGUUUUUCUUCCGAAAGAGUCUUUUCCAACAUUUGGCCCGUCUACACGGGACCAAAUGUUGGAAAAAAAAACCCCUCUUUCGGAACAUCCCUUCUUCCUUGUACAAAGAGGUUUACAGGGAUGCCAAAAAAAGUGUCAGCUUUUCCGAUUUUUUGUUUGUUUGUUUUGGAAAAGUAGACAUGUUCUUUGGACGCAGCAGAGGUUUUCUGGGAGACCUCUGGUAUCCUGGAAAAACUCUGUAGUCUAGACAUGUACCCUCAGUCUCCUCCUUUCUAAACAAAACAGGCCCAGUUGUUUCAGUCUUCUCUCAUAGCUCAUGUUUUCUAGACCUUUCAUCAUUUUUGUUGCUAUUCUUUGGACUUUUCCUGUUCGUCCAAAUCUUUCAUGGUAUGCGGUGCCCAGAACUGGAUAUAGUACUCCAGUUGAGGCCUAAUCAGCGUGGAAUAGAGAGGAUUCCUUCUUGUUUUAUUUACAACACUCCUGUUACUAUUACUCAGAAUUAUGUUCACUUUUUUUUUUUGCAAGUGUCACACCGACUCAUAUUUAGCUUGUGAUCCACUGUGACCCCCUAGAUCCCUUUCUGAAGUACUUUUUUCCCUAGGCAAUCAUUUCCCAUUUUGUGUAGUGUGCGAUUGGUUGUUUCUUCCUAAGUGGAGCACUUUGCAUUUCUUCUUACUGAAUUUCAUUUUAUUUACCUCAAACCCC